rnacentral:rRNA from 1 species
UACGUAGGUGGCAAGCGUUAUCCGGAAUUAUUGGGCGUAAAGAGCGCGCAGGUGGUUGAUUAAGUCUGAUGUGAAAGCCCACGGCUUAACCGUGGAGGGUCGUUGGAAACUGGUCGACUUGAGUGCAGAAGAGGGAAGUGGAAUUCCAUGUGUAGCGGUGAAAUGCGUAGAGAUAUGGAGGAACACCAGUGGCGAAGGCGACUCUCUGGUCUGUAACUGACGCUGAGGCUCGAAAGCGUGGGGAGCAAACAGGAUUAGAUA